CUCCUGAACUGAUAGAUGCAGUUGCAGGUCAAAACAUUGUGAUAUGAGUUAUGAGUUGCAGUAGUACUACAUGAAGAUUAUAAAUUAGUACUAAUGCAUAACUAAGUAAUGAUAUCUAGCUUGAGCAGCUCAACUACGACGCACUGGAUACAGGCUAGGUAUACUGACAUCUUACGCAUAUCUUCGCUUUUAUUUCAGUUAUCACUUUUGGUGUAAAACUCUUUGUCUUCCAUUUUAUACAUGAUGUUACUUAGCUAUAUCAGUUAUGUUGUCCUGACCGGAUAGUUAUCUUUUCUGUAAGCGACACAGGUGGUUGCUGAUUGGUUGACAUUUUAAUUUGGACCUUACUUAAGUCGUACAAGUGUAGUGACACCAUUUUCCAUGUUGGUUUGUUUUGGUAAGCAUUUUCAUGUAUAAAAUGGAAUUGCCGGUCUGCGACUUUAUUACAUAUAGCUUUCAGCCUGAUUGAUCUUCAACAAAACAACAAACAAAAAGGAAAAGUAUGAUUACCGCAUGUCCCUGCUACUGCUCGUAUGGUAGUAUUUAGUAUAUAUCAUUAUUUGAUAUUGCAACUAAUUUAAUUCUUGUUAGGAUGCUUGUCCUAUGAAUGUGAUGCCCUCCACAAGAAACAGCCAGCUGCAUUAGGCAGACAUAAAUCUUCUUUGUUUCGGAACAUGGUGGCCCUUUGGUAGAGGUAUGUGAAUAUUCCAUUUACGC